rnacentral:rRNA from 1 species
CCUACGGGUGGCAGCAGUGAGGAAUAUUGGUCAAUGGACGCAAGUCUGAACCAGCCAUGCCGCGUGCAGGAAGACGGCUCUAUGAGUUGUAAACUGCUUUUAUACGAGGGUAAACGCAGAUACGCGUACCUGUCUGAAAGUAUCGUAUGAAUAAGGAUCGGCUAACUCCGUGCCAGCAGCCGCGGUAAUACGGAGGAUUCAAGCGUUAUCCGGAUUUAUUGGGUUUAAAGGGUGCGGAGGUGGGUUGUUAAGUCAGCCGUGAAAGUUCGGGGCUCAACCCCAGAACCGCGAUUGAAACUGGCAGUCUCGAGUUGGAUAGAGGUAUGCGGAAUGCGCGGUGUAGCGGUGAAAUGCAUAGAUAUCGCGCAGAACUCCGAUUGCGAAGGCAGCAUGCCGGCUCCACACUGACGCUGAGGCACGAAAGCGUGGGUAUCGAACAGGAUUAGAUACCCUUGUAGUC